GACGAACGCUGGCGGCGUGCUUAACACAUGCAAAUCGAGCGAUGAACCCGGAGCUUGCUCCGGUGGAUUAGUGGCGAACGGGUGAGUAACACGUGAGUAACCUGCCCUUGACUCUGGGAUAACUGCGGGAAACUGUAGCUAAUACCGGAUACGACCCUCGGCGGCAUUGCCAGGGGGUGGAAAGAAUUUCGGUCAAGGAUGGACUCGCGGCCUAUCAGCUAGUUGGUGAGGUAACGGCUCACCAAGACGACGACGGGUAGCCGGCCUGAGAGGGUGACCGGCCACACGGGGACGAAGACACGGCCCAGACACCUACGGGAGGCAGCAGUGGGGAAUAUUGCACAAUGGGCGCAAGCCUGAUGCAGCAACGCCGCGUGAGGGAUGACGGCCUUCGGGUUGUAAACCUCUUUUAGUAGGGAAGAAGCGAAAGUGACGGUACCUGCAGAAAAAGCACCGGCUAACUACGUGCCAGCCGCCGCCGUAA
rnacentral:rRNA from 1 species